UCACUGAAUUCCAUCAAAAUCUAAUGAGCAACCCGCCGAGGUUACAACAAUCAUGUUAGACUAAGAAGAGCCUUGGGUUCCAGUCCCUUGGACAGGCCGUCCAGAGUCCAGACCGAUGCUGCGCCUCAUUAGACAGCAGCGAAACAUACAACUCGAUGUUAAUCAAAGUGAAGUUGGUACGCUCCACAGCUCGGAAGGGUAUGACCCUCUCAGCCAUCGGGAUUUCUCCCGUGACGUCCAAUAAGAGCACCUGCUUUCCUAACCUUUUUCGAUAAAGUUUAUCCAUCCUUUUUCAAGAUGACCUGGAAAGGCUUGACCUUCUACUGGAUCUCAAUCUAUACACUUAAUGGAGCGCGAGCUUUCUAACUAUUUUAUGUGAGAUGGGUGCCUUCACCUCUG
rnacentral:lncRNA from 1 species